UUCAAAGAGAAGCAAAGGAGAAUGAAAGUGAGUGAGUGAGAGAGUUCAUGAAAACUAAUAUGAAUUCGGUGUGGGAAUCUCCAACAUCAUCACCUCCUACACCUCCCUCUCCACUUCCCAUUAGUUUUGGACCAGGCAACCGGAGAUACUCCUUCUCAGCAUCGUCAACUCCUUCACCACCCUUCUCCACACACUCAUCUCCUGAGAAUCUUCCUCUUCUGGACAAGACGCUCGGUAGUCCUAACGUGCCAGCAGUAUUUUCAUUGGAUUGCCAGCAUCCUCAAGAAACGGAAUCCAACAACAGUACAUGCCUCAAGGACUUGUUGGAAUGGUUUAUACGAAGAUGUUGCAGUUGCUGUGAGAAAUUUCCUUGAAACUCCCUAACACCACAGAACAGCUCCAGGAUUCAAAUUAGUGGCAAUAGAGUUAGCUCCCAAGGAUUAUUAUUUAGGCAUUCAAGUCGGCUCCAACGUUUCUGCUGAAAUAACAACUAAUUGUCUACUGACACAUUAAAACUUCUUCUCAUUUUUCUAUUCUCUCUGUUUGGAAAAACUUAAACGGAAUUCAGGUCCAGUCAAUCAGUUAUCAUAUCCCUCUCCUCUCAAGUCUUCAAUGUUAGGGUGAAUUAGCCCAUGUUUGAAUAUUCUCAUAGUAUGGGGUGAAAUGAAGCGAGAUUCGUAAUCCAAACAAUCCACCUGUACUUAAUACCUAAAGUAAUUUAAUUUUAUUCUUGUUAAA